rnacentral:rRNA from 1 species
UACAGAGGGUGCGAGCGUUAAUCGGAGUUACUGGGCGUAAAGGGCGCGUAGGCGGUUAGUUGUGAUUGAUGUGAAAUCCCUGGGCUUAACCUAGGAAGGGCAUUGAUAACUGACUAGCUAGAGUACUGUAGAGGGCAGUGGAAUUUCCGGUGUAGCGGUGAAAUGCGUAGAGAUCGGAAGGAACACCAGUGGCGAAGGCGACUGCCUGGACAGAUACUGACGCUGAGGCGCGAGAGCGUGGGGAGCAAACAGG